CUGAGGGACUGUCACUCAGCAGUGUGUGCUUCUGCCAGGAAGCCCCGGAGAGGGGAGCGCUGCUGGGGGGACAUCCCUGCUCAGCUGCCUGCCCCCACACACUCUGUGCCUGGGAGGUGCUUCCGCUGACUGCAAAGGGAAGCACUGAGGGGUUUUGCUUUUCUCUUACAUUGACACCUCUGUGUUCUGACCGAGCACUGCAGAUUUCUAUUAUCCUCCCUUUUUGUACAUUACUGACAAUAAAUUAUAUCCUCCAGAGUUCUUUAUUUGUGGGAGGGCAGAUCCUGGGGUCUGCUUUUGCUUCUUUUGAGUGACCUGUUGACUUCUGUGGCUUGGAGUUAGGUCUCUGAUGGAGUAUUUGUUGCUAAACUUCCUACCAAGAUGCUGAGAGGCAGACAAAUCUUUGUCAGCUGUGUGACAAGACAGCCUGAUAUUGCUGCUUUGCUGCUCACCUGUGCCAGCUGGCCAUUGUACAGACAUGGGUGCCAAAAUGAUGAAAACAACAGAUGAAGGUGGUCUCCACAUGGGAACAGGCAAGAGAAAGUCUGAAUUACCUGGUUCUGCUCACAUAUCCAGGGGUGGUUUCUCAAGGCAUGUUUUCAUUGGAGAGCCUCUUCUACCCAGUGCAAGAGCUACAGGAGCCCUGGGUUGGACAUCCAAACCUCACACAAGCUUUCUCAUGUUUUGAAUGGCUGCUACUGGAGCUCUUUUGUGCUUGAUCAAUUCAAGGCUACUACUACUCUUCCAGGGAUCGGAUUAUUGACAGUCCUUUCUUGCUGGGCUCUCAGAAAGGAGAAAAAAAGCAACAGACAUGGCAUAAACAGGUGAAAGAACAUGGUUUGACCUUAAGGGUAGAGCAUGAGUGACAUAAAAGGAGGAAGGAAUGACUCACACGGGCAUGAAGAUGGAUGAGUUUGCCACUGGUUUAAUAUUACCCGUGCAGCCCUAACGCAGGCAUAGGACAGACCUCCGUGUAUCAGAUCAACUUCACAGACAACUGGAAAAACUGAUGCUGACUUUCAGAAAGGUUCUGGAUUCAGUGAGAGCAUGACUAGGCCAUGUGGGACUGGCAGAAGGAGCCAGAGGCCAUGUGGGCUGCCAAAACGUUGGAAGCACCAAACUUCGUUUUCUGUUUUCAGGAGCUGCAUCUGCUAAAGCCUUCCCUCAUGACCUUGAACUUGGACUACAUCUGAGCUUUGAGACCCAGGAACACUGCAGGAUUUUUAGCUUAUAUGUUGGAUAUGCUCAUGUCUUAGCUGCAUAUCUGGGUUAGUCCUUGGUGUGAUAUGUUCUCCUACCAGUUCCCAUUUCCAAAAACUGGAGGACAGGUUUAGCCACAUUGUGGCUUCACAGAUCACUUUGGUGGAAGCCUAAAUCAGCUUUUUUUGCUUUGGUUUUCAAUAGAAAAAAUAAAAAUACAAAAUAGAAAUGAUAGUUUCCAACUUUGGAUAGGCCAGUGCCAUUCCUUAAUAAUUAAGCAGUAAACACAACUACUUCAUAAUCCCAAAGUGCUAAUCUUAAUAAUUUUAUGUAAAUACAUAAAUAGGUAAGGGGGUCAUGAAAUCCCACUAUGUUGAAGCCAAGAUAUGGACAGUUACCUCAGCAAAACCCAGACAUAUAUUAGAGUCUAUCUUCCUCCAAAAUGUCUUCCUCCCUCCAGCCUGCCCCAAGAAGAGAUCCAUGAAGCCAACGGCGCCUUUAAGUACUUAGAUCCAUGUGACUACAAGCAGCAGCUUUGUCAUGAACUGAGCUGUGAAAUAUGGACUGUGAGAUCAA